rnacentral:rRNA from 1 species
GAAUUCGCCCUUAGAGUUUGAUCCUGGCUCAGGACGAACGCUGGCGGCGCGCCUAACACAUGCAAGUCGAACGAGCGAGAGAGAGCUUGCUUUCUCGAGCGAGUGGCGAACGGGUGAGUAACGCGUGAGGAACCUGCCUCAAAGAGGGGGACAACAGUUGGAAACGACUGCUAAUACCGCAUAAGCCCACGGCUCGGCAUCGAGCAGAGGGAAAAGGAGCAAUCCGCUUUGAGAUGGCCUCGCGUCCGAUUAGCUAGUUGGUGAGGUAAUGGCCCACCAAGGCAACGAUCGGUAGCCGGACUGAGAGGUUGAACGGCCACAUUGGGACUGAGACACGGCCCAGACUCCUACGGGAGGCAGCAGUGGGGAAUAUUGCACAAUGGGGGAAACCCUGAUGCAGCGACGCCGCGUGGAGGAAGAAGGUCUUCGGAUUGUAAACUCCUGUUGUUGAGGAAGAUAAUGACGGUACUCAACAAGGAAGUGACGGCUAACUACGUGCCAGCAGCCGCGGUAAAACGUAGGUCACAAGCGUUGUCCGGAAUUACUGGGUGUAAAGGGAGCGCAGGCGGGAAGACAAGUUGGAAGUGAAAUCUAUGGGCUCAACCCAUAAACUGCUUUCAAAACUGUUUUUCUUGAGUAGUGCAGAGGUAGGCGGAAUUCCCGGUGUAGCGCUGGAAUGCGUAGAUAUCGGGAGGAACACCAGUGGCGAAGGCGGCCUACUGGGCACCAACUGACGCUGAGGCUCGAAAGUGUGGGUAGCAAACAGGAUUAGAUACCCUGGUAGUCCACACCGUAAACGAUGAUUACUAGGUGUUGGAGGAUUGACCCCUUCAGUGCCGCAGUUAACACAAUAAGUAAUCCACCUGGGGAGUACGACCGCAAGGUUGAAACUCAAAGGAAUUGACGGGGGCCCGCACAAGCAGUGGAGUAUGUGGUUUAAUUCGACGCAACGCGAAGAACCUUACCAAGUCUUGACAUCCUGCGACGAUGCUGGAAACAGUAUUUUCCUUCGGGACGCAGAGACAGGUGGUGCAUGGUUGUCGUCAGCUCGUGUCGUGAGAUGUUGGGUUAAGUCCCGCAACGAGCGCAACCCUUACUGUCAGUUACUACGCAAGAGGACUCUGGCAGGACUGCCGUUGACAAAACGGAGGAAGGUGGGGAUGACGUCAAAUCAUCAUGCCCUUUAUGACUUGGGCUACACACGUACUACAAUGGCGUUAAACAAAGAGAAGCAAGACCGCGAGGUGGAGCAAAACUCAGAAACAACGUCCCAGUUCGGACUGCAGGCUGCAACUCGCCUGCACGAAGUCGGAAUUGCUAGUAAUCGUGGAUCAGCAUGCCACGGUGAAUACGUUCCCGGGCCUUGCACACACCGCCCGUCA